GCGCGGGUGGCGGAAUUGGCAGACGCGCUAGAUUCAGGUUCUAGUGGGUAAUUCCAUGCGGGUUCAACUCCCGCCUCGCGCA
rnacentral:tRNA from 1 species